UACGGAGGGUGCGAGCGUUGUUCGGAAUCACUGGGCGUAAAGGGCGUGUAGGCGGUCCGCUAAGUCUGAUGUGAAAGCCCGGGGCUCACCCCCGGAAGGGCAUUGGAAACUGGCGGACUCGAGUCCCGGAGAGGAGGGUGGAAUUCCUGGUGUAGCGGUGAAAUGCGUAGAUAUCAGGAGGAACACCGGUGGCGAAGGCGGCCCUCUGGACGGUGACUGACGCUGAGACGCGAAAGCGUGGGGAGCAAAC
rnacentral:rRNA from 1 species